rnacentral:rRNA from 1 species
UACGUAGGCAGCGAGCGUUUGUUCGGAAUUACUGGGCGUAAAGAGUGUGUAGGCGGUGUUCCAAGUUCGGUGUGAAAUCUCCCGGCUUAACUGGGAGGGUGCGCCGAAAACUGGAAUGCUCGAGCGUGGGAGAGGAAAGCGGAAUUCCUGGUGUAGCGGUGAAAUGCGUAGAUAUCAGGAGGAACACCGGUGGCGAAGGCGGGUCUCUGGGCAGUAACUGACGCUGAGGAGCGAAAGCGUGGGGGAGCGAACAGG